rnacentral:tRNA from 2 species
GGGCCAUUAGCUCAACAGGCAGAGCAACUGACUCUUAAUCAGUAGGUUCCCCGUUCGAUCCGGGGAUGGCCCACCA